rnacentral:rRNA from 1 species
GGCCGCGGGAAUUCGAUUGGAUCGCCCUUAGAGUUUGAUCAUGGCUCAGGAUGAACGCUAGCGAUAGGCCUAACACAUGCAAGUCGAGGGGCAGCACAUGAAGCAGCAACGCGGAUGGUGGCGACCGGCGCACGGGUGAGUAACGCGUAUGCAACCUACCUACAACAGGGGGAUAACCCGUUGAAAGACGGACUAAUACCCCAUAACACAGGGGUUCCGCAUGGGACUAUUUGUUAAAGAUUAAUCGGUUGUAGAUGGGCAUGCGUUCCAUUAGCUGGUUGGUGAGGUAACGGCUCACCAAGGCAACGAUGGAUAGGGGAACUGAGAGGUUUAUCCCCCACACUGGUACUGAGACACGGACCAGACUCCUACGGGAGGCAGCAGUGAGGAAUAUUGGUCAAUGGACGCAAGUCUGAACCAGCCACGUCGCGUGAAGGAAGACGGCCCUACGGGUUGUAAACUUCUUUUGUAAGGGAAUAAAGUGCAGUACGCGUACUGUUUUGCAUGUACCUUACGAAUAAGGAUCGGCUAACUCCGUGCCAGCAGCCGCGGUAAUACGGAGGAUCCGAGCGUUAUCCGGAUUUAUUGGGUUUAAAGGGUGCGCAGGCGGGAGAUUAAGUCGGCGGUGAAAUUUUGCAGCUCAACUGUAAAAGUGCCAUCGAUACUGGUUUUCUUGAGUGUGGAUGAAGUAGGCGGAAUUUGUGGUGUAGCGGUGAAAUGCAUAGAUAUCACAAGGAACACCGAUUGCGCAGGCAGCUUACUAAACC